AGACAGCAGCCGCCACGGUAACACCGAGGAUGCAAGCGUUAUCCGGAAUGAUUGGGCGUAAAGCGUCUGUAGGUGGCUUUUCAAGUCCGCCGUCAAAUCCCAGGGCUCAACCCUGGACAGGCGGUGGAAACUACCAAGCUGGAGUACGGUAGGGGCAGAGGGAAUUUCCAGUGGAGCGGUGAAAUGCGUUGAGAUCGAAAAGAACACCAACAGCGAAAGCACUCUGCUGGGACGACACUGACACUAAGAGACGAAAGCUAGGGGAGCAAAUGGGAUUAGAGACCCCCGUAGUCCCUGUCUCUUAUAC
rnacentral:rRNA from 1 species